rnacentral:tRNA from 1 species
GGGCCUGUAACUCAGCUUGGGCGCCUUUUCGCUGGCGGCAACGCAUGGCGAAAACGGAGCUAAUGGAGUGCCAGACUUCUAAUCUGGAAGCCGUGGGUUCGAAACCUUUGGCGCGCUCGCGCCUAUCGGCGCUCGCUCGAUAUACGCGCCAAAGCUUUCAUGAAAAGUCCGCCUGUGCACGGAAAUGCCGGGCAUUUCCGGCAUGUCGGGAACUCCGUUCCCGUACACCGGCGCGACGAUGGAAAAUCCCACCAGGCCCGCCA